rnacentral:rRNA from 1 species
GUGAAUCAUCGAAUCUUUGAACGCACAUUGCGCCCUUUGGUAUUCCGAAGGGCAUGCCUGUUCGAGCGUCAUUA